AUGCUUAAGUAUUAAUAGAUAAAGACUUGAAAUUUAAAGAAUUUGGCGGUAUUUUAAUCUUUUUAGAGGAACCUGUUCUGUAAUCGAUAAUCCACGUUAAAUUUUACUAAAUUUUAAUAUUUGUAUAUCGUUGUCAAAAGAAUAUUUUUAUAAAAUAUAAAUUUUCAAUAAUUUAAAUUAAAAUAUAUGUCAAAUCAAGAUGCAGUUUAUAAUUUAGAAGAAAUGGGUUACAAUAAAAAUAUUUAAAUGAAUUUAAGUUUGAAAAAGUUUAAUGAAGGUGGAUUUAAAAGUAAAUUAAUUUUAAUAAAGUUAAUUGAUUAUAGCUCUAAAAUAUGU
rnacentral:rRNA from 1 species